UACGUAGGGUGCAAGCGUUAUUCGGAAUCACUGGGCGUAAAGGGCGCGCAGGCGGUUUUGUAAGUCUAAAGUGAAAUCCUUGGGCUUAAACCAAGGGUUGCUUUAGAUACUGCAAAACUCGAGUUCGGGAAAAGCAAGCGGAAUGCCUGGUGAAGGGGUGAAAUCCGUAGAUAUCAGGAAGAACACCAGUGGCGAAAGCGGCUUGCUAGAACGCAACUGACGGUUAGGCGCGAAAGCGUGGGGAGCAAACAGG
rnacentral:rRNA from 1 species